rnacentral:rRNA from 1 species
GUGGACGCCAGUCUGCGUGGAGCCGACCUUGAAAUACCACCCUUUAAUGUUUGAUGUUCUAACGUGGACCCGUUACCCGGGUUGCGGACAGUGUCUGGUGGGUAGUUUGACUGGGGCGGUCUCCUCCUAAAGAGUAACGGAGGAGCACGAAGGUUGGCUAAUCCUGGUCGGACAUCAGGAGGUUAGUGCAAUGGCAUAAGCCAGCUUGACUGCGAGCGUGACGGCGCGAGCAGGUGCGAAAGCAGGUCAUAGUGAUCCGGUGGUUCUGAAUGGAAGGGCCAUCGCUCAACGGAUAAAAGGUACUCCGGGGAUAACAGGCUGAUACCGCCCAAGAGUUCAUAUCGACGGCGGUGUUUGGCACCUCGAUGUCGGCUCAUCACAUCCUGGGGCUGAAGUAGGUCCCAAGGGUAUGGCUGUUCGCCAUUUAAAGUGGUACGCGAGCUGGGUUUAGAACGUCGUGAGACAGUUCGGUCCCUAUCUGCCGUGGGCGCUGGAGAACUGAGGGGGGCUGCUCCUAGUACGAGAGGACCGGAGUGGACGCAUCACUGGUGUUCGGGUUGUCAUGCCAAUGGCACUGCCCGGUAGCUAAAUGCGGAAGAGA